CCUACGGGAGGCAGCAGUGGGGAAUAUUGCACAAUGGGGGAAACUCUGAUGCAGCGACGCCGCGCGAGUGAAGAAGUAAUUCUUUAUGUAAAGCUCUAUCAGCAGGGAAGAAAAUGACGGUACCUGAGUAAGAAGCCCCGGCUAACUCGGUUCCAGCAGCCGCGGUAAUACGUAGGGGGCAAGAGUUAUCCGGAUUUACUGGGUGUAAUGGGAGCGUAGACGGCAGUGCAAGUCUGGAGUGAAAGGCGGGGGCUCAACCCCCGGACUGCUCUGGAAACUGUACGGCUGGAGAGCAGGAGAGGUAAGUGGAAUUCAUGGUGUAGCGGUGAAAUGCGUAGAUAUUAGGAGGAACACCAGUGGCGAAGGCGGCUUACUGGACUGUAACUGACGUUGAGGCUCGAAAGCGUGGGGAGCAAACAGGAUUAGAUACCCCUGUAGUC
rnacentral:rRNA from 1 species